rnacentral:rRNA from 1 species
GACGUAGGGUCCAAGCGUUGUCCGGAUUUACUGGGCGUAAAGAGCGCGUAGGCGGUCUGUUAAGUGUGAAGUGAAAUCUCCAGGGCUCAACCCGGAAACUGCUUCGCAUACUGGCAGACUUGAGGAAUGCAGAGGUUUGUGGAAUUCCUGGUGUAGCGGUGAAAUGCGUUGAUAUCAGGAGGAACCCCCAUGCGAAAGGCAGCAACCUGGGCAUUACCUGCCGCUGAGGCGCGAAAGCGUGGUAGCAAACAGG